rnacentral:rRNA from 1 species
CGAACGGGUGAGUAACGCGUGAGGAACCUGCCUCAAAGAGGGGGACAACAGUUGGAAACGACUGCUAAUACCGCAUGAGCCCACGGGUCGGCAUCGACCUGAGGGAAAAGGAGCAAUCCGCUUUGAGAUGGCCUCGCGUCCGAUUAGCUAGUUGGUGAGGUAACGGCCCACCAAGGCGACGAUCGGUAGCCGGACUGAGAGGUUGAACGGCCACAUUGGGACUGAGACACGGCCCAG